rnacentral:ncRNA from 1 species
UGUCUUCAGGGCAGGGUGAAAUUCCCGAUCGGCGGUAAAGUCCGCGAGCCGCGCAGCGGCAUGAAUCGGUGCAAGUCCGAUACCGACAGUUACAGUCUGGAUGAGAGAAGAU